rnacentral:rRNA from 1 species
CCUACGUGAGGCAGCAGUGGGGAAUAUUGGGCAAUGGGCGCAAGCCUGACCCAGCAACGCCGCGUGAAGGAAGAAGGCUCUCGGGUUGUAAACUUCUUUUCUCAGGGACGAAGCAAGUGACGGUACCUGAGGAAUAAGCCACGGCUAACUACGUGCCAGCAGCCGCGGUAAUACGUAGGUGGCAAGCGUUAUCCGGAUUUACUGGGUGUAAAGGGCGUGUAGGCGGGAAAGCAAGUCAGAUGUGAAAACCAUGGGCUCAACCUGUGGCCUGCAUUUGAAACUGUUUUUCUUGAGUACUGGAGAGGCAGACGGAAUGCCUAGUGUAGCGGUGAAAUGCGUAGAUAUUAGGAGGAACGCCAGUGGCGAAGGCGGUCUGCUGGACAGCAACUGACGCUGAGGCGCGAAAGCGUGGGGAGCAAACAGGAUUAGAUACCCCAGUAGUC